CCGCGAACUGCAAACUUCCUGUUGUGUUCCUGUUGCGUUAAACCAACACUAAUGCUCAUUUUUCCUUAAGGCAAUAUGAACACAGAGCAAUACGCUGAAACUCGUCGUGCAAGUAACUGCCCAGUUUCGACGCCGGAGGGAAAUGACUCAAGUAAAGGAGAGCUAAAAAGAACACCAUUCUCAAAGUUUAAGAGAGUGCACUCCCACUUCAAGUCACCUCUUCAAGUACUUGAGAGUGCUAAAGUAAGCCCUGCAGAGGAGGCGGCAGAGCUAGAGAGGAGAAGAGAGCAGCUGGAUACAGAGAUCGCACAGCUGGAGGCUGAGGGAUACAGAGUACAAGAGCUGGAGCAUCAUAUUGAUAAGUUGCAUGAAUACAAUGACAUCAAAGACAUUGGGCAGUCACUCCUGGGUCGUAUUGCGGACUAAAGUGUGGAAGAUACACCAGAUCUCUGUCUGUCUGCAAACUCCUCCUACACAAUCAGGAAUUCAGCAACCAAACUUGCCACACAGCUGCUCUGAGGGGGACUACCACACGAGAUCUCUACACACACUUUGGUCUGGAACUGGAUGACUGAAGAAAAGAAAGAAUGAAAAUAAAGGGGUGGGGACGCUCCAUCUGAGAAAGGGAACUGGGAAAAAAUGUUUAAGACCAUAGACUUUUGGAUUGAUUUGAUUUCCCCAUUUUUAUAAUUAAUACCAUUGAUAAUGAAAGGGCACUGGUGUUUAAAAUAGGCUGGCUAUUCAAGCCUGUUAGUGGGCUUUCAUGCCUACCCUGCUUGUGCAAGGAUGUAAAUGCUGUUGAGGGUUAAUACUGUGCUGGCUAUUCAAACUUCAGUCAUUUCUCUAACGUUGGUUGUUUGGUUUGUUGUUUGCAAAAAAAAAAAAAAUACUGGAGUGCCGAAAUGUACUAGCAGUAACUGACAUUAAUAUAAUAAAUGAGGUGUUACCAAGAUACACUGUCCUUUUAUUU